rnacentral:rRNA from 1 species
UACGAAGGGGACUAGCGUUGCUCGGAAUGACUGGGCGUAAAGGGCGCGUAGGCGGCCACGCACGUCCGUUGUGAAAUCGCCCGGCUCAACUGGGCGGGGUCAGCGGAUACGGCGUGGCUAGAGCAAGCUAGGGGGCAAUGGGAAUUCCCGGAUGUAGUGGUGGAAUGCGUAGAUAUCGGGAGGAACACCAGUGGCGGAAGGCGGUUGCCUGGGGCUUUG